rnacentral:rRNA from 1 species
UACGUAGGGAGCGAGCGUUGUCCGGAAUCAUUGGGCGUAAAGCGCGCGUAGGCGGCCCGAUAAGUCCGCUGUAAAAGUCAACGGCUCAACUGUUGAAAGCCGGUGGAUACUGUCGGGCUAGAGUACGGAAGAGGCAGGUGGAAUUCCUGGUGUAGCGGUGGAAUGCGCAGAUAUCAGGAGGAACACCCAUAGCGAAGGCAGCUUGCUGGGACGUUACUGACGCUAAGGCGCGAAAGCGUGGGGAGCGAACAGG